UGCGAGCCUCUUCCCCAGCAACCCGAGCUCCACUUUCGGGGUCCGCCAUUCACUGUUCCGUCCCCGGCGCCGAGCUCCAAUGAAGGAGAGCCCCCUGCAUGCAGCCAUGGCAGAGUUAAUGAAGCGUCGUUAGGAAUUUCACCGCUUGGUUUUCUUUCAAGAGAAGCCGCUCCAAGGCAGACUUUGGCAAAGCUGUACCCUGAAGACGUGGAAACUGGUUGGGAUGAUGAGGUGGAUUAGUCUAUACGUUUUCUUUGAGCUCAGGAUCUGGUCUGAUGUAGGCGUGUGAUUAGUUGAGGCAUGC
rnacentral:lncRNA from 1 species